UACAGAGGGGGCAAGCGUUGUUCGGAAUUACUGGGCGUAAAGGGCGCGUAGGCGGCCUUCUAAGUCGAACGUGAAAUCCCCGGGCUCAACCCGGGAACUGCGUCCGAUACUGGAAGGCUUGAAUCCGGGAGAGGGAUGCGGAAUUCCAGGUGUAGCGGUGAAAUGCGUAGAUAUCUGGAGGAACACCGGUGGCGAAGGCGGCGACCUGGGUCGAUACUGACGCUGGAGCGCGAAAGCGUGGGGAGCAAACAGG
rnacentral:rRNA from 1 species